UCCUCUUUCCAAAUCAUCUUCUUUCUUCAUCGUCACUUCCAUUUUUUUCAAACAGAUUUUAUAUCCAAUUCUCCAUUUGGUUAAUAAAAUUCAUUGUUUUUAUAUGUAACACACAAUUAUCACCAAACGAUUCAUAAAAAUAGAGAGAACUUACAUGAGUUUGGAUGGAUUAAACUUUUAAUUUGAAGAAUUUUGGGAUGAAAAUUAUAGUUUUGUAAUUUAAAGUGAAGAUGGAGAGGACGAAGAUAAAGG
rnacentral:lncRNA from 1 species